UUGCUGUUUGAGUUUGCUGCAGUUUUCUUACUUGCAGGACCCCUGAUUGUCACUGUUUUCCUUUGAAAUUUUGGCUUGUAUUGCUCUCCUUCACUGUCGUUGUCAAACUCGUUGUCGUCUUCUGAAGAUGAAUAACCAGCAAGUCCUUCUCCCCAGCCCUCGUCAUCGUCAAAUUCUCUUUGGUCUUUCCACAAUUUUGAUUUAAUGACCAUGUCCCUCAUGUUAACAAAAACUGGUUUGAUAUUUCCAGAGGAAGUUGAUGGUUUUCCAUGAUCUUUUAAAGUUGUCUCGACAUGUGAAUUGGAGCAAGAUAUGAUUGGAGAAAACUGCACAUUGUCCAUCUGCUUAUUCUGUUCAGUGAAGAUUGCAUCUUCAUUACUGACUUUUGACAAUGCAGCAAAUGAGUUUGGAGAUGUUUGUAAAGCUGGACUGUUAUCUGAACUAUGAGAUUUGAAUUUAGAUUUUGAAAUUCCUUUUCUGUUGGGCAGAGAUGGGCAUUUCUUUACAGACUGUUGCGCCUUUUCCGUUGUCUGUUGAGUAACAGCAGAAAGAUUUGAAUCACCA
rnacentral:lncRNA from 1 species